GGGAAGCGGCACCGCCCCCGGCCGCCUCCUGCGCGGCGGAGCGGGCCGGGGCCGGCGCGGGGGCCGGAGCGGGCCGAGCCGCCGCGCCCGCUCCAUGGAGGCCGCGGCCGAGGCCCCGGGGGGGCCCGCGGUGCUCAGCUGCUUCUCCUACAACCAGGACUGCACCUCCCUGGCAAUUGGAACCACAACUGGAUACAGGCUUUUCUCCUUAAGUUCUGUGGAGCAACUGGACCAGGUCCAUGAAAGCAAUGAAAUCCCAGAUGUUUACAUCGUGGAACGUCUGUUCUCCAGCAGCCUUGUGGUUGUAGUCAGUCAUGCCAAGCCACAGCAAAUGAAUGUCUACCACUUCAAGAAAGGGACAGAGAUCUGCAACUACAGCUAUUCCAGUAACAUACUGUCCAUCCGGCUGAACCGUCAGAGGCUGGUGGUUUGCCUGGAGGAGUCAAUUUACAUCCAUAACAUUAAGGACAUGAAGCUUUUGAAGACUAUUCUGGAUACACCUCCAAAUCCAACAGGUCUGUGCGCUCUCUCGAUCAACCACGCCAACUCCUACUUGGCUUAUCCCGGCAGUGCGACCAGCGGAGAGAUCGCGCUUUACGAUGGAAAUACUUUGAAAACAGCCUGCACCAUACCUGCCCACGACGGGCCUCUGGCUGCUCUCACCUUCAACUCCACCGGCUCGAAGCUGGCGAGCGCUUCCGAAAAAGGCACAGUCAUUCGUGUAUUUUCCAUUCCUGGUGGGCAAAAGCUCUAUGAAUUCCGGCGAGGGAUGAAAAGGUAUGUGAACAUCAGCUCCCUGGUGUUCAGCAUGGAUUCCCAGUUCCUCUGCGCUUCCAGCAACACCGAGACCGUGCACAUCUUUAAACUGGAGCAUCUCACUGACAGCCGGCCAGAGGAGCCUCCAACCUGGAGCGGUUACAUGGGGAAGAUGUUCCAGGCUGCGACCAACUACCUCCCUGCUCAGGUAUCGGGCAUGAUGAACCAGGAUCGAGCCUUUGCCACCGUCCGACUCAACAUUUCCGGACAAAGGAACAUCUGUGCCCUUUCCACGAUUCAGAAGCUGCCUCGGCUGUUGGUGACUACAUCAGAUGGACAUCUCUAUAUCUAUAACUUGGACCCACAAGAUGGAGGGGAGUGUGUAUUAAUUAAGAAACACAGUCUGCUUGGCUCAGGAAAGAUGGAGGAGAACAAAGAAAAUGACCUUCAGCCUCCGUUACCUCAAUCUUAUGCAGCAACAGUAGCCAGACAAAGUUCAGUGCCUUCAACUUCGACCAUGCCAGGUUACUCGGAGGACGGUGGUGCCCUGCGAGGAGAGGUUAUCCCAGAGCAUGAGUUUGCAACUGGACCAGUGUGUCUCGAUGACGAGAAUGAGUUUCCUCCUAUAAUCUUGUGCCGUGGAGGUCAGCCGGGCAAGGCGAAGAGGUCGUGAUGAGAAGCAAACAUCCGCGCUUAGGACAGCUGCUGGGAAGUGCUUUGGAAAAGCCAGGAGUUUCGAAGAACGCGUUUGUGAAUCCCCAAGACGAGAAAAAAAUCCAAUCCAAGACUUUCCGAUCUCUACAAGGGACACGGUACCUGUGGUGUAAAACGCCUUGUACUGCGCCAGCCGCAGCGUCUCGAUCUCGCCGUCCUUCCCCGCAGCCCCGCUGUUGGGGUGGAGCAGAACCUGCAGGAAGAACAGAAAUGUGGCAGAGAAAUCCUGCUGUGUGACACCCACUCCCUCCUCGGACAAGACUCCAUCCCACCCGCAUAUACAUUUUAUACAGACAUCGUUUACAGAGACAUCAUUUAUAGAGACACCACUUAUAGAGACACCACUUAUAGAGACACCACUUAUAGAGACACCAUUUAGCCCCUGGACUCUGCGCAACCAACCAAGGUUUGCUUCCUGCAGGGUGCGUGACAGCAAAAGGGCACUAAGAACAGCAGCAUCUCUCUUGCGCCUCCUGGCCCUGCACACAGGACCCCCCAAAUUCACCUCCCCAGACCCGUUCUACCAUAAGAAAGGGUUGGUGAAGGUGCAGCAGCUUUCAGCAGAGCAGGGCAGAGUAUUCGGGAGGCAGGAUGGUGAGGUGCUGGAACGUCACCCCCGGUCCAUCGCCACUGACUCACCCCGCUGUGCGAGCGCUCCCUGCCCUGACAACAGCCCAGGGAAUGGGGGGAGAAGGAAGGGAAGGAGGGAAGGGUGGGUCAAAUCUCUCCCUUUCGGUAUUUAGGACACUUGAUCCGCACAGGACGACUGCUUUGGCACAGGGGAGCGAGCAGACAAGUGAGCUGGACGCUUCAGCGGGCUCGUCCGUCAGAUAAUAUCGGCCGUGGAGCCAAUGGCUUCACUGAGGGAUGAGUCACUCGAGGUUUCCUCCCUGGGAAUUGAGUUUAAAAGUGAUUCAAGAAAUUUCCACUGUGCUAAAAAUUAGAAACAUCUGCUGAAGUUGUAGGCAGCUGCCGUGCCAAGUUUAGUAACAGCGAUCGCAGCUGAUCAGCGCGGUGAUGCUUCAGCAGGUGCCCGGCGCCGAGUCCUGUCCCGGCACCCCAGGCACCCCCUUUUGUCACCCUGCGAGGUCACCCCGAGGUGUCAACCCACUCUGUCACCCCGAGAUGUCAACCCCACGCUGCCUGGUCCGGCCAGUUGGUAACUCAUCCAAGAAAUGCCAGGAUUCAGGGCGGUGGGUGAUUUUCAAACGCUCUCACUUUCCUUGAUUGCCUUCCAUUGCAAUCUAAGAAAAUAAUACACCUUCUGGAAUUUGGUUCAAAAGUCAUGCUUAAGGGAAAAAAGUUCAAGGUGUAAAGUGGCAGAGGUGGCGCAGUAUGAUCCUGCUACAAGGAGGAAACCCCUGCUAUAGAGUUCCCUUAUGCUGAUGCUCCUUGGUGAGAAUAAAACAGCUCCAGAGCAGGAAUCAGCAAAUAUUCAAGGGCUCGUGAUGCCAAGAUACCAGGAACUGCACCAAUUAAUCCACUUGCAGCCCCAAAGCUUUGCCUGCACCUUCAGCAGUGCAGCUGGGACGCUGCCACCUCGGUGUCGGGCGCUCAAACCUCCUUUGCUACCAACAAACCUGCCUCGGAAAACUCCACGCUAAGAAAAUCUGUUAUCAUCUACUGCCUAAUUAAGGAGCUUGUUUUGAAUAAUCAUUUAUAGGUCUGCAACCAUCCUAUUGAUUUGCGACUUUGUCAUUUUAAUGAAAAACAAACAAACAAACAAAAACACAACUAGAAAAGGGGAAAAAAAGCCUUUUCUCCCCUGAAAUCUCCUCUGAACUCGGUGUUCCAGGCUGUUUGCACAAGCGUGGGGAGCAGGCGUGCACCCCCCUGCCAUUAACCUCCUGGAACGAGCUCAUUUAUCUGACACUGGUACCCUUGAUACACGCUGUAGGAUGUGUUUAUUUUUACUGUAAACAGCCUUCGCUCAAAACAGGACUUUGGCAUCACUCCAGCCCCGUCCCAGGUUGUGCCGAGUGCGCAGGAUGGGACCCCGAGCAAGGUCACCCUGGGCAGCUCGUCCCCACCCCGGGGAGCUCGUCCCCACCCCAGGGACCCUGGUUUGGGAGGCAGCUGUUGGUGUGCGGAAACCGGGGGGUGUGACGAGCAGAGGAACUGCUGUCGGGAGGAUUUGUGUCAAGGAAAACCCUCUAACGUCAAAGGGCGGGCUGCUGUCGGCCGCUCGUGAGCGGGAGGUGAGAGGCAGAGACAAAAGGGGAAGGAGUGGGGACAGGGAUUUGCUCCUGGCCACCCCCUGGGGUGCUGUGUGUCCCCCACAAUGUGCAGUGUGUCCCCACUGUGUCCCAUGGCUGCGCAGGCUGCUGGAUCGCAUCCCUGGGGAUGCUCCAUCGAGGCUGGGACAGGCAGGAACAACCCAGCUGUGCCCCCCAGCUCCAGCCCUGCAGGGGUUCAUUCAACCCUGAUUGCAGCACAACCCCCCAAAAAAGCUCUGAGUGGGGGUGAUGCUGGGGGACUGGAGGAGCUGGUGGGGUGUAGCGCCUCAUGACUUUAUUCCUUGGUUUGAAAUGCACAGGAAUGGCUGGUGUGGGUCCUGCCCCUUCACCACAGCCUGGCACCCAGCAAACCAUCAUCCUCAACAAAACCAUCAUCCCCAGCAAACCAUCAUUCCCAACAAAACCAUCAUUCCCAGCAAACCACCAUCCCCAGCAAACCAUCACCCCAACAAAAGCACCAUCCCCAGCAAACCAUCAUCCCCAGCAAACCAUCAUUCCCAGCAAACCAUGAUUCUGAACCAUCACUCCCAACAAACCAUCAUUCCCAACAAAACCAUGAUCCUCAGCAAAUCAUCACUCCCAGCAAACCAGUAUUCCCAACAAACCAGAAUUCCCAGCAAACUGUAAUUCCCAACAAGCCAUAAUUCUCAGUAAACCAUUGCUCCCAGCAAACCACGAUUCCCAACAAACCAUCACUCCCAAAAAACCAUCAUUCCCAGCAAAGCAUCAUUCCCAGCAAACCACUGGUCCCCCCUCCUGGCAUCACACACACAAAAGAGGGUUAAUCCCAAGGAGCACAUUGGAGCGCCCUGGCCGCAUCCCAUCCGCUUCCCUGUGUUAUCUCAUGGUUCAGCAGAGGGUUCCAUAAAUACAAAGCAAAUACCAAAACCCUGAUGGACACAAAAAGCAAAUCCAAGAUCCCCACGGGGAGCUGGCUCAUGGUGCUCGCACGAGGGUGGACUUUAAAAGCAAAAUCAGGCUUUAUCUGCGAGACUGGUAUUGAAGUCACUCUUCUGUUUUCUUUUCUUUCUGCAAAAAUCUUGUGCAACUCUGAGAAAAAUACAUCGCCACACUGCUUGUUCUGCUAACUGGGUUUUUUAGGCUUAAAGGAGCUGUCAGCAGCUUUUGUAUGGGCAGAGCUGCAGGGUACGGACGGGCUGCCCCACUGGAACACCGGUAACAUGAAUGGUCCCAGCCACAGAACUGGAAGGAGAGCUUUGUUAUAUCUCUAUCUAUCAAGAUAAAUAAAGAGCAUACAGUCAGG